AUGGCCUGGGCCCCUCUGCUCCUCACGCUGCUCACAUACUGCAUGUUUGCUGCUGCGAGGAGCGAAUUGGAGGGUUCCUGGAAGAGAGACGUGAUCCUCUGGAUUCCCACCAUGGCCUGGGCCCCUCUGCUCCUCACGCUGCUCACUUACUGCAUUGGUUUCAGUUCCCAGCAACUCCAGUCGCUGAAGGCGUCCGAGUUAGUGUCUCCUGGAGGGACCGUGACCCUCUCCUGCAGCCUGAGCAGUGGGGCCAUCGCUGAUCACAACUACCCACUCUGGGUUCAACAGAGACUGGGGAAUGUUCCUCGGCUGAUCAUGCACACUACGAGUACCAGGCCCUCGGGGAUCCCAGAGCGUUUCACUGGCUCCAGAUCGGGUAACACCAUGUCCUUGACCAUCAAGGGGGCCCUGGCGGAGGAUGAUGCUGAUUAUUACUGUUGUGUGUGGACUGGCAGUGCUCAUCACAGUGAUACACAGCUGUCUGGGCACUGGCUAGCUGGCAGCAUCCCGCUCCCUCUUGACGCCCGUUCUUUCUUCGUGAAGAAGCCAGGCAGUGAGUGA